AUUGAACGCUGGCGGCAGGCCUAACACAUGCAAGUCGAGCGGAUGAAGGGAGCUUGCUCCUGGAUUCAGCGGCGGACGGGUGAGUAAUGCCUAGGAAUCUGCCUGGUAGUUGGGGAUAACGUCCGGAAACGGGCGCUAAUACCGCAUACGUCCUGAGGUAGAAAGUGGGGGAUCUUCGGACCUCACGCUAUCAGAUGAGCCUAGGUCGGAUUAGCUAGUUGGUGGGGUAAAGGCCUACCAAGGCGACGAUCCGUAACUGGUCUGAGAGGAUGAUCAGUCACACUGGAACUGAGACACGGUCCAGACUCCUACGGGAGGCAGCAGUGGGGAAUCUUGGACAAUGGGCGAAAGCCUGAUCCAGCCACGCCGCGUGUGUGAAGAAGGUCUUCGGAUUGUAAAGCACUUUAAGUUGGGAGGAAGGGAAGUAAGUUAAUACAUUGCUGUCUUGACGUUACCAACAGAAUAAGCCCCGGCUAACUUCGUG
rnacentral:rRNA from 1 species